rnacentral:rRNA from 1 species
CUAGAGUUUGAUCCUGGCUCAGGACGAACGCUGGCGGCGUGCCUAAUACAUGCAAGUCGAGCGGAGAUUUGAAAAGCUUGCUUUUCAAAUCUUAGCGGCGGACGGGUGAGUAACACGUGGGCAACCUGCCCUUGAGACGGGGAUAACUCCGGGAAACCGGAGCUAAUACCGGAUAACACAUAUCUUCGCAUGAGGAUAUGUUAGAAGGUGGCUUUUAGCUACCACUCAAGGAUGGGCCCGCGGCGCAUUAGCUAGUUGGUGAGGUAACGGCUCACCAAGGCGACGAUGCGUAGCCGACCUGAGAGGGUGAUCGGCCACACUGGGACUGAGACACGGCCCAGACUCCUACGGGAGGCAGCAGUAGGGAAUCUUCCGCAAUGGACGAAAGUCUGACGGAGCAACGCCGCGUGAGUGAUGAAGGUUUUCGGAUCGUAAAGCUCUGUUGUUAGGGAAGAACAAGUACCUGUUAAAUAAGCAGGUACCUUGACGGUACCUAACCAGAAAGCCACGGCUAACUACGUGCCAGCAGCCGCGGUAAUACGUAGGUGGCAAGCGUUGUCCGGAAUUAUUGGGCGUAAAGCGCGCGCAGGCGGUUCCUUAAGUCUGAUGUGAAAGCCCACGGCUCAACCGUGGAGGGUCAUUGGAAACUGGGGAACUUGAGUGCAGAAGAGGAGAGCGGAAUUCCACGUGUAGCGGUGAAAUGCGUAGAGAUGUGGAGGAACACCAGUGGCGAAGGCGGCUCUCUGGUCUGUAACUGACGCUGAGGCGCGAAAGCGUGGGGAGCGAACAGGAUUAGAUACCCUGGUAGUCCACGCCGUAAACGAUGAGUGCUAAGUGUUAGAGGGUUUCCGCCCUUUAGUGCUGCAGCAAACGCAUAAGCACUCCGCCGGGAGGCCGUG